UACGGAGGGGGCUAGCGUUGUUCGGAAUUACUGGGCGUAAAGCGCACGUAGGCGGCUUUGUAAGUUAGAGGUGAAAGCCCAGGGCUUAACCCUGGAAUUGCCUUUAAGACUGCAUCGCUAGAAUCGUGGAGAGGUGAGUGGAAUUCCGAGUGUAGAGGUGAAAUUCGUAGAUAUCAGGAGGAACAUCGAUGGCGAAGGCAGCCCCUUGGACCUGUACUGACGCUCAUGC
rnacentral:rRNA from 1 species